CCUACGGGAGGCAGCAGUGAGGAAUAUUGGUCAAUGGACGAGAGCCUGAACCAGCCAAGUCGCGUGAAGGAUGACUGCCCUAUGGUUUGUAAACUUCUUUUAUAUGGGAAUAAAAUGUUCCACGUGUGGGAUUUUGUAUGUACCAUAUGAAUAAGGAUCGGCUAACUCCGUGCCAGCAGCCGCGGUAAUACGGAGGAUCCGCGCGUUAUCCGGAUUUAUUGGGUUUAAAGGGGGCGUAGGUGGAUUGUUAAGUCAGUUGUGAAAGUUUGCGGCUCAACCGUAAAAUUGCAGUUGAAACUGGCAGUCUUGAGUACGGUAGAGGUGGGCGGAAUUCGUGGUGUAGCGGUGAAAUGCUUAGAUAUCACGAAGAACUCCGAUUGCGAAGGCAGCUCACUGGACUGCAACUGACACUGAGGCUCGAAAGUGUGGGUAUCAAACAGGAUUAGAUACCCCAGUAGUC
rnacentral:rRNA from 1 species